rnacentral:rRNA from 1 species
AUUUCAAGUGAAUAAGAGCUUAUGGUGGAUACCUUGGUAUUUAGAAGCGAUGAAGGGCGUGACUACCGACGAAACGCUACGGGGAGUUGGAAGUAAGCAUUGAUCCGUAGGUACCCGAAUGAGGAAACUCCUAGAACUUUUUUCUGAAUCAAUAGGAAAAAAAGAGCAAACCUAGCGAACUGAAACAUCUUAGUAGCUAGAGGAAAAGAAAGCAAAAGCGAUUCCCUUAGUAGUGGCGAACGAAACGGGAACAGCCUAAACUAAGUAUUUUUACUUAGGGUUGUGGGACAACAUAUAUGUAUCUUAAUAGCUAAGCGAAUUAGUUGGAAUACUAAACAAAAAAGAGUGAAAGUCUCGUAGCUGAAAGCUAGAUGGAACUAGUUGUAUCCCGAGUAGUAUGGGACACGUGAAACCCCGUAUGAAUCAGCGAGGACCACCUCGUAAGGCUAAAUAUUCCUAGAUAACCGAUAGUGAAACAGUACCGUGAGGGAAAGGUGAAAAGAACCCCGGGAAGGGAGUGAAAUAGAACAUGAAACCAUAAGCUUACAAGCAGUGGAAGGACGACUAAUCGUCUAACCUCGUGCCUGUUGAAGAAUGAGCCGGCGACUUAUAGGUAGUGGCAGGUUAAAACAAACUAGUUGGAGCCACAGCGAAAGCGAGUCUGAUAAGGGCGUUAGUCACUAUUUAUAGACCCGAACCCGGAUGAUCUAGUCAUGGCCAGGAUGAAGCUUAGGUAACACUGAGUGGAGGUCCGAACCGACUGAUGUUGAAAAAUCAGCGGAUGAGCUGUGAUUAGGGGUGAAAUGCCAAUCGAAUCCGGAGCUAGCUGGUUCUCCCCGAAAUGCGUUGAGGCGCAGCGGUUAAAUUUAAUGUCAGGGGUAAAGCACUGUUUCGGUGCGGGCUGCGAAAGCGGUACCAAAUCGAUGCAAACUCUGAAUACUGAUUGUACAUUUAACCAGUGAGACAGUGAGGGAUAAGCUUCAUUGUCAAGAGGGAAACAGCCCAGACCACCAGCUAAGGCCCCUAAAUAGUUGCUAAGUGAUAAAGGAGGUGGAAAUGCAUAAACAACCAGGAGGUUUGCUUAGAAGCAGCAACCCUUUAAAGAGUGCGUAAUAGCUCACUGGUCUAGUGAUUCUGCGCCGAAAAUGAACGGGGCUAAGUAACUUGCCGAAGCUGUGGGAUUAUAUAUCGGUAGGGGAGCGUUCUGUAUUAGUUUGAAGCAUUAGCGAAAGCGGGUGUGGACGAAGCAGAAGUGAGAAUGUCGGCUUGAGUAGCGAAAACAUUGGUGAGAAUCCAAUGCCCCGAAAACCUAAGGUUUCCUCUGGAAGGUUCGUCCGCGGAGGGUGAGUCAGGACCUAAGGCGAGGCUGAAAAGCGUAGUCGAUGGAUAACGAGUUAAUAUUCUUGUACCAUUUAUUGUUGAUAACGAAGGACGAAGAAGGCUAAACCAGCCGAAUUUUGGUUAUCGGUUUAAACUAUCAAGGUGUUGAGAAGUAGUGAAAAUACUUUGAGCUAAGAAGUGAAUACAAAACACUACGGUGUUGAAGUGGUCUACGUCAUACUUCCAAGAAAAGUUCGUACUAUCUUAAGCAAUAAAUGCCUGUACCCGAAACCGACACAGGUAGGUAGGUAGAGUAUACCAAGGGGCGCGAGAUAACUCUCUCUAAGGAACUCGGCAAAAUAGCCCCGUAACUUCGGGAGAAGGGGUACCCUUUAUAGGGUUGCAAUAACCAGGCCCAAGCGACUGUUUACCAAAAACACAGGUCUCCGCUAAGUCGCAAGACGAUGUAUGGGGGCUGACGCCUGCCCAGUGCUGGAAGGUUAAAGAAGUUGGUUAGCGUAAGCGAAGCUAGCGACUGAAGCCCCAGUGAACGGCGGCCGUAACUAUAACGGUCCUAAGGUAGCGAAAUUCCUUGUCGGGUAAGUUCCGACCCGCACGAAAGGCGUAACGAUUUGGGCACUGUCUCAGAGAGAGACUCGGCGAAAUAGACAUGUCUGUGAAGAUGCGGACUACCUGCACCUGGACAGAAAGACCCUAUGAAGCUUUACUGUAGCUUGAAAUUGGGUUCGGGCUUUUUCUGCGCAGAAUAGGUGGGAGGCUAUGAUAACAUUCUUGUGGGAAUGUUGGAGCCAUCAUUGAGAUACCACUCUGAAAAAGUUAGAAUUCUAACCUUAUAUUGCCGUUAUCCGGCUAAGGGACAGUUUCUGGUGGGCAGUUUGACUGGGGCGGUCGCCUCCUAAAAGGUAACGGAGGCGUGCAAAGGUUCCCUCAGGCUGGUCGGAAAUCAGUCGUAGAGUGUAAAGGCAUAAGGGAGCUUGACUGCAAGACCUACAAGUCGAGCAGAGACGAAAGUCGGCCUUAGUGAUCCGGCAGUACCGAGUGGAAGGGCUGUCGCUCAACGGAUAAAAGUUACUCUAGGGAUAACAGGCUGAUCUCCCCCAAGAGUUCACAUCGACGGGGAGGUUUGGCACCUCGAUGUCGGCUCAUCGCAUCCUGGGGCGGUAGUACGUCCCAAGGGUUGGGCUGUUCGCCCAUGAAAGCGGUACGCGAGCUGGGUUCAGAACGUCGUGAGACAGUUCGGUCCAUAUCCGGUGUAGGCGUUAGAGUAUUGAGAAGAUUUCUCCUUAGUACGAGAGGACCGGGAGAGACAUACCUCUGGUGUACCAGUUAUUGUGCCAACAGUAAACGCUGGGUAGCUAUGUAUGGAAAGGAUAACCGCUGAAGGCAUCUAAGCGGGAAGCCCACUUCAAGAUGAGUACUCUCACUAUUUUAAAUAGUUAAGAUCACGGUAAGACUAACCGUUUGAUAGGCACCAAGUGUAAGUGCAGUAAUGUAUUAAGCUGAGUUGUACUAAUAGAUCGAGGACUUGAAUAA